rnacentral:rRNA from 1 species
CUAUAAGCCUAAUUUAUUUUGUUAAUAAAAUUUUAUUUUUUUUUAGAAAAUAAAAGUGUCUAACCUUAACACUCAAUAUAAAAAAUUAUUUUUUGUUUAACCUUUUACUAAAAACAGGGGUUAGACGUCCUUUAUGUUUAAUAUAAAUUAUACUAGGUAUUAAAAAUAUCAUUUCUAAACCUAAACAAAAUGGCAGUAAUUUAUUCCAGGCAGAGAGGUUUGAAUUAUAACUAGAUACUCCUCUAUAUAUCUUACUAAUAUUUAUUUUUUGUGUGGCUGUUUUAAAACUGAUCAAAAUCUAAUUUAAGCUCAAGUUUUAUGAAAACAAAUUUUAGGUUAUUUUAGCCACAAUAGAGGGCUUAUUACAAAUAGUUACCCUGUUUGUGUACUGAAUUUGCGAGUAAGUUUUACUUAAGAUGUAAUAUUGAAGGGGUUAUAAUUUAAGUACAUAUUGUCCGUCACUCUCUCUUA